UCUCCCACUAGCCCUUUCUCCCUCACUUCCUUCAAUCUUGGUCUAAAUUUUAGAUUAGAUUUGAAUUCGAAUUCUAUCUUUGGAUUGAUUUGAUGAAUGUGUGUAGCAAAAUCUAAAAUGACAAUUCAUGAUUCUUCAGUUUUGAUGAUGGAUAACGCAGGGAGUUGCUUGUGUUCAUGCAUCCUUAAUUUUGUGGAAAUUUUUUUUUUUCUUUUUGUACAUUUUGAUGUGUAUUACUCUUAAUUGUUAUUGUUAUUAUUAUUUUUGAUAAACUAAGUUCUUGUUGUUUUUGUGCAGGUGCUAUAGACUUUGGGAGAGGCACUUUGGUGGUGAUGAACCAUUGAUUGACAAGUUACCAUUUGAUUUUCAACAUGUGGAUGUGUUUUCUUCAGAAAGGCCUGGACCCAUUGAUAAUUCUGAUUUAAUAGAAAACAGUAAUUGUCCUGAAGGUGAUUCUCUAGAGGUUCGUAGAAAUUUGGUGGAAGGGCAGAUACCCACAGUACUUGACAAACAAGGAGCACAACUACUUGCGGUUGCAUUUCUUGUUCUCUCCAGAUCAUGGAUUUCCGAUCGGAUUGCCCCGUUGAAUGGAACCACUGUGAAAUAUGUUCUGGAGCAGGACGAGGCCUCUUAUGUUCGUUCAAUAACAAACUCUUUGAUAAGUUUUUGAGACCAGUAGAUCUGACAAAAACUAGGUACUUGACAGGCAAGUUGGCCCUUGGAUGGAGAAUUCAUAUGACUCAAAGAACUACUUAAGGAAUAAUGCAUUUUACAAGGAUUUCAACAUGUCUAGCAAAAGCAUUGAUGCAGAUCAGCAAAUAACUCAGGAUUUGGAAAAGUUAACCUCUGAUCUGGCAGGUUUGGUGACUGGUAUGGUUAAGCCUUCUGUUGACAUUCUCUGGUCAGAGGGGAGUUGCCGUACUCUGUGUACAUGUUCCUUGGUUUGGGUUUUCUUAGGACUGUUACUCCUGAGUUUGGUGAUUUGACAAGUUGAGAACAACAACUUGAAGGAACCUCUAGGUAAUUUUAUUUUUGUUUUAGCUUUCUUAUUUGCUUUUGCCCAGUUUUACAUGCAUGAUUGUGCACACAUAGAGAUAGAUACUUGAGCUUUGUUCUGUUUCUUCUUGACUUCAAUUCUUUAAUCAAAGUUUUUUUAUUCGAUGAUAUAAUCUUCCUUUCUCUUUCCAGCCAUGUUUUUUUACCAGGUCCCCCCAGCUGAGAUGGAACAUUUACAUCAAUCCAAUGCUGAAAUUUCUGAUGCUACUGUCAUUUCCUGUGUGGUGGUAGGCCUUCAGAAGGGGUAUUUGUUGGUGCCUUGCUGUCUAUGUCUUCAACUGCAGUGGACCAUGCCUUCCCCCUUCUUAGCCCUUCUCAUGGAAGUUGGUACUCUCCCUCAAAUCAAUGAGAUUAGUAAGUUAAAAUUGCUGAACACUUUAAAAAAUUUGGUGCAAUAUUAUCAUGUAUAUUAUGACCACCUCUUUACUGUAGGCCACCAGUUCAAUGGCUGAAGUUUGGAAUAUGUUACUGGUGUCUUUCAUAUCAUCUUCCCAUCAAUUGGUAUAUUCUGAAAAAUAAAUAUAUAUAUAUUUGUGGUAGUCAUAUAAGUGAUAUAUGCAUACAUUUAUUUGUUUAUUUUUACUUCUUUUCAUCUAUUUAUAAAGUACCUCUCUGUGCUGCUUAGUGCAGUCUCCAGACCUAUCCAGUGUGAUUAACAGCCAAUGAGAGUCAGGAUUUAAACAUUUAUAAUUUUUGCAAAUUGUUUGAUGCACUUUAAUAGUUAUGCAGACUGGGGAAGAGGCUACAUUCUUUUUCAGUUCCUAAUAUCAUAUCAUAUGAAUGAGAUUACUGGAUAGAUUAAAACAUGUGGGGUUCAUUUGCUUCCACUUCAAGUGGUUGACUGGUUAGUUGUAUUAGAGUGCCUAAAAACAAGCUUCCUUUAGUUAAUUUUAUUUGUUAGUUUAAAGAAAUUUUAAAAGUAUCUUAAGAAGUGAUGUUGUCUUCUCUGAUAAAUCAGUGUCUCAUCAACCUGUAAUUACCUCAUAUGAUUCAAUAUAUCAUAGUGUUUGAAUAGAAGAUGCAAUGAGAACAUGGCCAGUAAACAUGUUUAUUGUAACUGGAACCUUGGGUUAGGGGAAGGUAUUGUUGAAUAUAGGGUUAGAUUAGAAUUGAGUCUGUUCAAGUUUGAGUUUGGGCUUGGUUCAAAUGAACCUAAAAUGAGCUUGAUAUAAACGAGCCCGAGCUUAAGAGUUCAAUAUUUUUGAGCUUGAGCUCGAGCUUAAGCUAUAGUGAUGUUCAACUGUCAAACUCGAAAAUGUGAAAAAUUCGAUAUGAAUAAAUUAAAUCUUUUUAACCAAUAAACAUUAAAACAACCUCAUUUUAGUAUUGAAUUGAGUCUAAAGCUUUAACUUGAGCUCAACUCCUUUUAAACCAAUCGAGCUCGAACUCGAGUUUGAGUUUGACUCCACUCAAAUCGAACCGAGCUCAAGCUUAGGCUGCCUUGUUCCUAUGCAGAAGUUGCAGGAAUGAAUAUUCAUUGACCCUCAGAAUCCUAUGAAGUUGCACAACCUCCCAUUACAGGUAAUCCAGGAUUAUGUCAACAGUCAAAUGGGGAAAUCAUCAUGUGGUUUCUGAUAAGUUCGUUACGGCAACCCUGCAUUCUCUGCUGCUGAACCAGUUCAUUUGAUAGUUCAGGGUAUGAAGAACAAAGUGCCAGAGAAGUUGAAUUUUGGUUUCCUGCUUCUGAUGUUGGUCCCUUGCAGCUCAGGAUUUGUUAAGUCUUAAAUUCAAGAAAGAGGAUCUGUUUGCUUUUAUACUAUUCACUGGUUAGAGCAAUUUAAAUCUGGUUUCUUUAGUCAACAGCCUUAUCUUCAACUUCACAUAACUUUUAGAUUGCCUUUUAUUAUGUUGACUGUAUACACUAUUCUUUAUUUUCAUUUUAGAUUGCCUUUUAUUA